GGAACACAGCCCAUAGAACACUCUGGAGUACACCUCAGUUCGACAGAAGUGUACAGAGGCUUCUGGCAACACGGAUUGCCGUCUACCUGAUGACCUUUCUCAUCGUGACAGUGGCCUGGGCAGCACACACAAGGUUGUUCCAAGUUGUUGGGAAAACAGACGACACACUUGCCCUGCUCAACCUGGCCUGCAUGAUGACCAUCACCUUCCUGCCUUACACGUUUUCGUUAAUGGUGACCUUCCCUGAUGUGCCUCUGGGCAUCUUCUUGUUCUGUGUGUGUGUG
rnacentral:lncRNA from 1 species